ACUAACUCCAUUACUCCAACCUGACCCAACUUUUAAAACGUAGAUAAUGUUUGCCGUUUUAGACAAUCCUCCUCUUCCUUUUUGACCUUCAAAUACAAAGCUACUACCUUUCAAUUCCAUUCCCAAUCUUUUCUUCCUCAAAACCCUAAUUCCGAUCUCCAAUAUCCAAUCUGAAAUCAAGUAAUUUCUCUGCUGAUUUCACCAGAUCGGCUUCGCUGAUUACUCAGGAAUUAUGUCUUUUGUGCGGAAUUUUGAACCAGAAGGAAGACAUCUACACGGAGGUUAUAGGUCCACCUAUGACGGUAACAACUUUGGCAACAAUAAUAGGAAAAGGAGCAGGAAUGAUUAUCAUCACCGGAACUAUAAUAUUCAGAAUAACAACUGGGCAAAUUUUGGGGACCAUGGUGACAACUAUAAUUUUUACAGGGCUGAUCAUGCUAAUUAUGCUAAGUACGAUGCUGUCCCAGCAUCCUUGAAAAGGAGAAAAUAUGCAGCUCCUGCUUGGGAAGAUAGCCAGAUGUACUAUCUUCCAUAUACUGUCCAAAACAAUUUCUCAUCAGCCAAUUUCCAAGCUCCUCCUACAAGAUCCAAUGCGGAUACAUCAACAUCUGCUAGCUUGCAGCUUGAUUGGUCUAUAUUUGAAGAUGAUAAGCCAUCCUUCAUGUCAAGGGACGAGAUUGACAGAUAUUCUCCAUCAAGAAAAGAUGGCAUUGAUGUGCGUCACGAAACACACUUGCGGUACUCCUAUUGUGCUUACCUCCAGAACCUUGGAAUGCGGCUUGAACUGCCUCAAACUACCAUUGGGACGGCUAUGGUUCUAUGCCACCGAUUUUUUGUUCGGAGAUCGCAUGCCUGCCAUGAUAGAUUUUUGAUUGCUACUGCUGCCCUUUUCCUAGCUGCAAAGUCGGAGGAAUCGCCACGCCCUUUGAACAAUGUUUUGCGGGCAUCUAGUGAAAUCUUACAUAAACAAGAUUUUACUAUGUUGUCCUAUCUUUUUCCUAUUGAUUGGUUUGAACAGUAUCGUGAGCGAUUGUUUGAGGCUGAACAGUUGAUUCUGACUACCCUAAAUUUUGAACUCAAUGUGCAACAUCCAUAUGCACCCCUUACAUCUGUUCUUAACAAAUUAGGUCUAUCAAAGACCAUUUUGGUGAACCUGGCUUUAAACCUGGUCAGUGAAGGUGAUUGGAAUGAAAAUUACUAGUUUAGUAAACAGCUCAUGUGGGGCACUGGGUGUGUUAAACCUCAAGCAAUAACAUGUCUUGAGGUCUGGAGAUCUAUUGGCUGAGGAAGAUACAUUGGUCUUUACCCUUCUAAAUUUUGGUGCAAGAUAGUGUUGAUUCUCAAAAUGUUGUUCUUUAGUCCAACAUCUGUGUAUGUAUUCUGUCAUGGGAUAUUGAUUCUUUUGGCAUGCAUAUAAUUGCAGGAUAUUCACAAGAUUAGCGUGCUGGCCUAUAUGAUAUUCUUAGCUGGCGGAUUGAUAUGCUGUUCAUGGAAAGUUUUGUUUUACAUCUGAAGUUGAACUGCUGAUGUCUAAUGGAUUGCUUUAGUCUGAAUAUGUCCCAUGGAAUCUUAUUGGGGCUACCCGAGAUAGCUACAGGAGCCCCAAUCCAGAUUUUCCAUCCAAUGCCUUGUAGUUGCCGAUGACCUUGAGCUGAAUGUGCUCUUGUUGCUCAUUUAGUAAAAGGGUUGGAAGAUCAUGAAAUGAUCUGAAAUAAACCAACAAAAAAAUUCACACAGACCAAAAUUCAUAAAUGGACCGAGUCAUUUGUUGUCCUGGAAAAAAAGAAGUCUCAGCUAAAAAGGGUUGAAAGAUCUUAGAAAUGGUUUUGCUCUUUUAAUUAAUGGUUGGAGAUCAUAGAAAUGAUCUGAAAAAACCAACAAAAAAUUUCAAAUAGUCCAAAAUUGAAGCAUGGACUAAGUUGUUUGUUGAAAGGGAAAAAGAAAGAUCAUAGCCAGUCAAAUGGAUUGGGAGAUCAUACAUUGCUUUUUUUAGUAAAAUGGGUUGGAUGGUCAUACAAAUUAGAAAUUAUUUGAAAAAACCAACAAAAAUUUUCAACAAUUCAGAUAUGGUCUGGGUCAUUUCUUAUCCUGAAAAAAAAAAAAGCAUGUCAUUCCUUAGUUGACAAGAUGUUGAUGUCUUUCCUGCUCAGUUCCUAUGCUGAUACUGAAUUUUUGUUUAUUAUCCCUUUUUUCUGGUACAUUUAUUUUUUGUUUCUUAAAAAAAUGAAGCUUUUCACGUGUUCUAGUAACUGGUUAGUGAUAGCUGUUAAUGCUAUCUUAUAAUUAAAAUUUCUUUGGUUUGUGAAAGUUGUCCUAAAUUCCCCCAUUCUCCAACCACAUUGAAUUUGUUGGUCAAUCAAAUGGAAUAGUUUGGACAGCUUUCUCUUCCACGAGUGUUUUAAAUUUUGAAAUUAUUUCUUUUAUCCCAGUUUAGACUUUAGUGUAAGAGUGAGUGUGUGUGUGCGUGCGUGCAUAUUUUAUUCUUUAAUAACUUCUAAAUGAUGAAUAUUAUUUUUAAAAAUUUGUACUGAUUUUUCAUCUGUUCAAGUGAUUUGUUUUCUAGUUUCUUUGUCCAAGGUUAGGUCCGGUUAAGUUUGUAAUGGGAAUGGGUAUUUUUCAUUACAGGAAGAAGAAAGUAAUAUAUGGCUAUUUAAAAUUGUCAGACUCUUAAUUCCAUUUUUGAAAAAGUUUCUUUAGUGUAGCAUUCCCAGGGAUCCAAUUGUGAUAUACGAGCAUUGUUCAUGAUUUGGAAUUGGUCUGUUCAUCCUUUGUGUAAACCUAGGUUAUUUCGAAAUGUAGAUGUUGAACCUCCCAAAUUGAAAUCCAUUAUGGAUGUGUGUCGUAUAUUUAGGGGUAGAUGACUCAAAGGCAAAGCCUAGAUGCUUGGCUAGCGUGUGUUUGCAGUUCUAGAUGUCUAACUCCUUUUACUUUAGUGGUUUUCCUGUGUUUGUAAGACAAACAUGUGCCGUUUAUGUUUCUGUUCAUCUGGUAAUAGUUGAUCUCUUAAUUUUAAAAGUUCCUAAAUUUGCUUAUUGAAUAGAGUACUGGUUCUGUAGUCGAAAAGAAAUCAGCCAUAUCAAGGUCAUCAUUUUUAGGUUCUAGGACAUCAAAUGCAUGCUGCCAUUUUUCUGGAUUUGAUUGUUAUGAAAAAAUGUAUUUAUUUGCUGAAGAGAUGUAUUUUUUAAAGGUUUAGUUCCAUUUUUACAUGCUUAUUAUUUAGCAAUAUACGUAAACCAAAUAAAUAAAUAAAAUAUCAAAGAAAUUGAUCUAUUAUGAACCAGUUUGUGAGAGCUUAACAAACUAAACAUCCAAAUUCUUUUUCAGAGGAACUUAAUUCAAACUCUGUAAUAAUAAGCAAGGUAAAAGCCACCCCACACAUUUUUUAAUGAGUGGGGCAGCCUGAGUGGUUCACUGGUGGCUCUGCUUCUUUUAAGCAUAUGCUUAUAUAUUUGACAAAAAGAAAAUAAUUUAUUAAUCUUUGUUAUUGCUCAUCAAUGUUGAGUCUGUUAGCACUAUGAAUUCUGGAUCUCCAUUGACCAUUGCUUUAGUUUUUCGCAAUUUAUAUGGUAUUGUGUUGAGAACUGUGUAGCACCUUAAAAAAAAUUAAAAACAAAAAAAAAACUUCCCUUUGUAGCACUUUUAAUGCUCCAGAAAAUUCUGCACAAUUUCUCUGAAAAUUAUAAUGUACUCCAUGAUGAUAAUUAAGGGAGGUUUGCUCCUGUUUUGUUUUAUCCCUGUUCCUUGGGAAAUGGAACAAUUGAUAUCUUAGGCGGCUGGUGUUUAGUGUGGAAUAAGUUGCAUUCAUAAUAAGCAUUCCAAUGUGCAUGAAUGCAUGAUAGCAAGAGUCGUCAGGUCAAAAUGUUGAGCAGAAGAUGUGGCAUUGGCAUUAGCUUUGAAAGAUUCAGUUGUUUGCAAUUUGCAGCGCUACAUGCAUGCUUUCUCAUUUUAAUUGCAUGUACUUUGGGAGUUUAAAGCCCCUACAGCAGAUUUGAUCCUGGAAGUAUGUUCUCUAAAUGAGUAUAAGAUAUUGCUAUAGUUUGGUAUAUCAGCAAUCCUGCACAGAUUCUUGGAAUAUUAUUCUUCCUGAGUUGCUGCUUGUAUAGUUGGCUUCGGAGUUCUCUUUGGCUUCAAUUUAAACCUGAACAUAUUGCUGCUGGAGCUGCAUAUCUUGCUGCCAAGUUUCUCAACAUGGAUCUUGCUGCUGAUCGGAACAUCUGGCAAGAGUUCCAGACAACACCAUCCAUUCUUCAAGAUGUCUCGCAGCAAUUAUUGGAGCUCUUCUGAAAGUAUAAAAGAACAAGAUAGCAUUUACCUUGUAGAGUAGAUUCUAAGUACAUAGUCAAAAUGUCGCAGAGUUGAAAUAGUAUGAGCCACAGAUAAUCAGUGUUGGGAAGUUUGAUAAAUAAUUUGGCAGAUUACAGAUUGAAAGGUGUGACCUAUGGUUUUCCUAGUGUUUCAGCAUCUCAUGUAUAUUUUUAUCAAACCUGGAUCACACUUUGCAUACAUUUCUUUGGUGCAAUGCAGUGUGAUAUACUUUGAAUUGUCAUCUAUACCAACCAGGGCGUCUAGUCUAGUUGAGGAGGAACAUUUCCAUCAUUGGGGUUCCAAGGUGUCAAAUUCUGUUUUAAUUAAUCUUGUAGAAAUGGUUUCACGAUAUAAGACUUUACAUAAUCGAAUUUAUAGAAGUUCACUAAAUGUUUACUGAAAUAUUUUGAAUC